CUGAAAUUCUUCUUUUACUCCGCGAUGCACCAGAUUUACUGGAAGACGUUGAACGGAAAAGUGUGUGUGUGGGGGGGUGAUUUUCCUACUGAUUUCCCUGUCACACACUCCCUCUCCAGAAGGACACGGUGAUUUCACAAACCUGGAAUUUUCCAGAGCUGCUCUUAGGCGAGCGUGUCCAAUUUCAAAACACCCGAGAAAAAUUUCAGAUUUAGAAAUGUGAGACGAGUGUGUGUGAUGUCUCUAAACUCAGGGACAAGUGAGUGAAAGAAAGAAAGAAAGAAAGAAAGAAAGAAAGAAAGAAAGAAAGAAAGAAAGAAAGAAAGAAAGAAAGAAAGAAAGAAAGAAAGAAAGAAAGAAAGAAAGAAAGAAAGAAAGAAAGAAAGAAAGAAAGAAAGAAAGAAAGAAAGAAAGAGAAUAUUGUGUGAUGAGAUGAAGAGACAAAAACACAAUGAGUGUCAAUUCAACAAAAGAACUCCUAAGAGAAACGAGAACAUGAAGAAUGGUGGAAAGAUCUAGAAAGCAGUUCAACAGGCCUGAUGAACUUUGAGAACAACUUUGAGGGGUCUCCACAGCGAAUCAUCUCUCUCCACCUCUCCCUAUCUCCUGCAUCCUCAACACUUACACCCACUAGCUUCAUUUAUUCCAUCCAUAUACCUCCUCUUUGGCCUUCCUUUUUGCCUCCUGCCUGGCAGCUCCAUGGCCAACAUUCUCCUACCAAUAUACUAGUUCCUGCUCCACAGUCUCAAUGGUUUGUCUAUGAAUAUUUAGGAUUUCACUGUUCAAGAAAAGCAACAAAUCGUUUUAUCCAAUCGUUCAUAUUCAGUAACCAUUUUAUCCUGGUCAGGAUGGUAGACGAAAUUUGAGCUCAUCUGGGAACAAUGAGCGUGAGACUGCAGGUGGGAGGAACCCAGAGAACCCGAGGAAAACCCAGACUGAGGCAGGUAGAAUAUGCAAAACUCCACACAGGACUGAAAGAUAAAAACCAGGGACCUUGGAACUGUGAGACGACAGCGAGUGCUUCUCUGUUGAUGAAGCACCUGGAUUAAUUUAGGAGAGAUUGUUCCCUGAUUCGAGAUGAUCUUAUUUCACUGUUCAUGGUUUUGAUUAACAAAUUUUGCUUUAUGAAAAAUAUGCAUGCAAUCGUAUAUGAAAAAAAAAAAACUCACAAUGAAAAGACCAGAAAGUAUGAAAGAGAGAAAAAACAAGCAAAAUAAUAGUGGGAUACAGAACACAGAUUUAUAGCGAAUGGGAAAUGUAUUUGUAAAGACAUUCUGCCCUCUAGUGGCUAUAUCUUGUAAUUACAUCAAUAUUCUCUAAACUCUUCUGAUGUAAGGUGAGAAACACUUUCUAAAAGGAAAAAAAAACCCAGUUUAUUAAAAACAGUAUGAUUUAAUGUAUUUCCAGUAUAAUUUGUAUGGUUUCUAAGGUUUAUUAAAAGCACGUUAUCCGUAUUAGAAAUACUUUAUUGACCUUGGCAGAUCCACACCACAUUUAAUGUGCACAAACAUUUAACUUGAUUGAUAUACAAACCAGUAAAUCAGACACAAUAAAAAAUACAAAAACAAAAUCCACAUACAAUAAAUAAAUACAGAUACCACAGAUGAUGAGGGUGGGGUCAGUUCUUUCUGCUUAUUUAUAGUGAAUGGCUUCUGGGAAAGAGAGUUAUUACUUGACCUAUAUAUCAGGACACAAUCUUUUCACAUGACAUGAUUGUGAAGUGGGUGGAGCAGUAGGACUCCUCCCCCUUUCUGACGGGAGGGUCUAUCUAAAGCUACUGCACUAUGGCUCACUGUCCAUUGUCACACACACACACUAUAUUUUCCAUUUUAUUCUAUUACUAGUAUGUUUCUGUUUAUAAUUGAUAACUUAUUCAUUGUUAUUUUUUACAAUGUUUCUUUUGAUUUAUCUUACUUUUUAAAAAUGUUUAACAUAAUAUACUGAUUAGAAAUGAGUGUACAAAGACAGUUAAAUAAAACAACAAAAAAAUAUUUUAUUUUAAUUUUUAUUGCAGAGUUUAGCAGUGUGUUAGAGAUGCAUUUUAUCCAAAACAAUCAAGCAACUAAAUGUGUUUUGUAAGUGAAAUGCUCAGUAGUUUGUUGAUUUUAAAUAACAAGACAACAUUGUGUAAAUAAUUAUUAAAUAAAUGUGCAGUUAAA